UACGUAGGCAGCAAGCGUUGUUCGGAGUUACUGGGCGUAAAGGGUGUGUAGGCGGUUCUUUAAGUUUGCUGUGAAAUCUCCCGGCUUAACCGGGAGGGUGCGGUGAAUACUGAGGGACUAGAGUACGGGAGAGGAAAGUGGAAUUCCUGGUGUAGCGGUGAAAUGCGUAGAUAUCAGGAGGAACACCUGUGGCGAAAGCGGCUCACUGGACCAUAACUGACGCUGAUGCACGAAAGCUAGGGGAGCAAACAGG
rnacentral:rRNA from 1 species